CACUGACAUUAGAUACCCGGGUAGUCCCAGCCGUAAACUAUGCGCGUUAGGUGUAUCGGUGACCACGAGUUACCGAGGUGCCGAAGGGAAACCGUGAAACGUGCCGCCUGGGAAGUACGGUCGCAAGGCUGAAACUUAAAGGAAUUGGCGGGGAGCACCACAACAGGUGGAGCCUGCGGUUUAAUUGGACUCAACGCCGGGAAGCUCACCGGAUAGGACAGCAGAAUGAUUGCCGGGCUGAAGACCCUGCAUGACUAGCUG
rnacentral:rRNA from 1 species